GAUGAACGCUGGCGGCGUGCCUAAUACAUGCAAGUCGAGCGAACGGACGAGAAGCUUGCUUCUCUGAUGUUAGCGGCGGACGGGUGAGUAACACGUGGAUAACCUACCUUUAAGACUGGGAUAACUUCGGGAAACCGGAGCUAAUACUGGAUAAUAUUUUGAACCGCAUGGUUCAAAAGUGAAAGACGGUCUUGCUGUCACUUAUAGAUGGAUCCGCGCUGCAUUAGCUAGUUGGUAAGGUAACGGCUUACCAAGGCAACGAUGCAUAGCCGACCUGAGAGGGUGAUCGGCCACACUGGAACUGAGACACGGUCCAGACUCCUACGGGAGGCAGCAGUAGGGAAUCUUCCGCAAUGGGCGAAAGCCUGACGGAGCAACGCCGCGUGAGUGAUGAAGGUCUUCGGAUCGUAAAACUCUGUUAUUAGGGAAGAACAUAUGUGUAAGUAACUGUGCACAUCUUGACGGUACCUAAUCAGAAAGCCACGGCUAACUACGUG
rnacentral:rRNA from 1 species